CUACAAUAAUAAACAGUAAUUAUGAAUAGUAAUGAACAGUAACAAACUUAAACGUAAAGAAAGCUUAAAACCUAAUUAACAAUAGUAAAAUGAAAGGAAAAUGGGCUUUAUUUGCAAAAGCACACUUACAUAGAGUCUGAUGAAAUUGAAAUAUACACCGUACAAGCUUUAUGUACACUAAUCAAAGCUUAAGCAAACUUAAAUAUAAACCACGAGUGCUAAUAUAUGCUAAUACAUGAGUAAACACACCAUAAGCACACUUACUUACAAAACUCACAUGGAUUAACGGAGCUAAGUAAUAGAGUCUCUAUGAAAUGUUUCUGUGGAGGAAGAGUGGAAGAAUAGUGGAGUACGUAGUGAUGUGGUGGAAGAAGAAAAAUGGAGAUGGAUUAUUUAGUGGAAGUAAUGAAGAUUGGAUACUUAGUUUUGGUGGAAAGGAACAAAUGAAAGGGAAUAAACGAAGAGAGAUGCUUCUCUGAUAAGAACAAAUGAAGAAGGAAAUGAUGAAAAUGAAGUUGCCUGGUGGAGAAGAAAUGAAAAGGAGAUGCUUUGUUUAUAUUGAUGAGAACAAAGCCCUCGAAGAAGAUGUCUGCUAUGAGGAAGGUAGACUGCGGAAGAUUAGGAGAGAAGAGAGAUUUUUUGUGGAAGAAGAUGGAAGGGAUUAGAGGAAGGAGACAAGGGAAGAGAAGAGAAGAGAAGGGAAGAAG
rnacentral:lncRNA from 1 species